rnacentral:rRNA from 1 species
GAUGAACGCUGGCGGCGUGCCUAAUACAUGCAAGUCGAGCGAACAGACGAGGAGCUUGCUCCUCUGACGUUAGCGGCGGACGGGUGAGUAACACGUGGAUAACCUACCUAUAAGACUGGGAUAACUUCGGGAAACCGGAGCUAAUACCGGAUAAUAUAUUGAACCGCAUGGUUCAAUAGUGAAAGACGGUUUUGCUGUCACUUAUAGAUGGAUCCGCGCCGCAUUAGCUAGUUGGUAAGGUAACGGCUUACCAAGGCAACGAUGCGUAGCCGACCUGAGAGGGUGAUCGGCCACACUGGAACUGAGACACGGUCCAGACUCCUACGGGAGGCAGCAGUAGGGAAUCUUCCGCAAUGGGCGAAAGCCUGACGGAGCAACGCCGCGUGAGUGAUGAAGGUCUUCGGAUCGUAAAACUCUGUUAUUAGGGAAGAACAAAUGUGUAAGUAACUAUGCACGUCUGGACGGUACCUAAGCAGAAAGCCACGGAUAACUACGU